rnacentral:rRNA from 1 species
ACGAACGCUGGCGGCGUGCUUAACACAUGCAAGUCGAACGGAAAGGCCCUGCUUUUGUGGGGUGCUCGAGUGGCGAACGGGUGAGUAACACGUGAGUAACCUGCCCUUGACUUUGGGAUAACUUCAGGAAACUGGGGCUAAUACCGGAUAGGAGCUCCUGCUGCAUGGUGGGGGUUGGAAAGUUUCGGCGGUUGGGGAUGGACUCGCGGGUUAUCAGCUUGGUGGUGGGGUAGGGGCUUACCGAGGCGUUGACGGGUAGCCGGCCUGAGAUGGGGAGCGGGAAAAGGGGGACUGAGGUGAGAACGAGAGUGCGACGGGGGGCAGCAGGGGGGAAUAUGGAACAGUGGGAGGAAGUGUGAGGAAGCGACGCCGGGGGCGAGAUGACGGCCUGAGGGUUGGAAAACGCAUCAGGCUGUGACGAAGCGUGAGUGACGGUAAGAGAAAAAGAAGCACCGGCUAACUACGUG